GCGGGGGUAGCGAAGCGGUCAAACGUGCAACCCUCAGACGGUUGUGGCUUAGUGCCUUCGCAGGUUCGAAUCCUGCCCCCCGCA
rnacentral:tRNA from 1 species